GAAAUAGCUAUUUCUUUCUUGCCCCUCCCAUUUUUUCUCGCUCUUUCUCUCGCCUUCGCAUCCCCCCACUAGCUUCUCCCACCCUUGCCCUACCCCCUAAAUAGCGCCUACUAUGCAGGCUAUCUGCAUGAUGACUACUGAUCUGCAGCACCAGAAUCUAGCCUGAAAUGUCAGGCGUUCUCCCCGCUUGAACACGGGGAGAGACUCAGAGACAUCAGUCUCUCCCCGUGUUCAAGCGGGCAGAACGCCUGACAUUUCAGGCUACACCAGAAUCAAGUUUGUCCCAAUAAAUGCCAUAAUACUGUCAAUUAGAGGACAUGAACGACAAGAAGUCGAAUCUGACAUUUUUCUUGGCUAUAUAUUUUUCCAUUUAGCUAAAUUUCAACAUAAAAUACUUACUAAAUACACAAUUAUAGUAUCGUAGUUGUCUCACCUUGACAAAAGAAUACAAAUUGCAACAGUUUAUACCUAACCCAGUGUUUCCACUCCCAAAAUAAUAAUUUCCUUCUCCAUAACCCAAAAUUUCCUUUUUGCCAGCAAGAUUUCCUUCCAAAAAUCUCUAAAUAUCCUUCCAUUUUUCCUUCAAUUUUUUUAUCAAAAUUGACC